rnacentral:rRNA from 1 species
UGGGGAAUCUUGGACAAUGGGCGCAAGCCUGAUCCAGCCAUGCCGCGUGAGUGAAGAAGGCCUUCGGGUUGUAAAGCUCUUUUACCAGGGACGAUAAUGACGGUACCUGGAGAAUAAGCCCCGGCAAACUUCGUGCCAGCAGCCGCGGUAAUACGUAGGGACCAAGCGUUGUUCGGAUUUACUGGGCGUAAAGGGCGCGUAGGCGGCUUGACAAGUCACUUGUGAAAUCUCUGGGCUUAACCCAGAACGGCCAAGUGAAACUGUCAUGCUAGAGUGCAGAAGGGGCAAUCGGAAUUCUUGGUGUAGCGGUGAAAUGCGUAGAUAUCAAGAGGAACACCUGAGGUGAAGACGGGUUGCUGGGCUGACACUGACGCUGAGGCGCGAAAGCCAGGGGAGCAAACGGGAUUAGAUACCCGUGUAGUCCCUGAGCGGGCUGGCAAGGCGCAU